GACGAACGCUGGCGGCGUGCUUAACACAUGCAAGUCGAACGGAAAGGCCCUGCUUUUGUGGGGUGCUCGAGUGGCGAACGGGUGAGUAACACGUGAGUAACCUGCCCUUGACUUUGUGAUAACUUCAGGAAACUGGGGCUCAUACCGGAUAUGAGCUCCUGCUGCAUGGUGGGGGUUGGAAAGUUUCGGCGGUUGGGGAUGGACUCGCGGCUUAUCAGCUUGUUGGUGGGGUAGUGGCUUACCAAGGCUUUGACGGGUAGCCGGCCUGAGAGGGUGACCGGCCACAUUGGGACUGAGAUACGGCCCAGAAUCCUACGGGAGGCAGCAGUGGGGAAUAUUGCACAAUGGGCGGAAGCCUGAUGCAGCAACGCCGCGUGCGGGAUGACGGCUUUCGGGUUGUAAACAGAUUUCGACUGUGACGAAGCGUGAGUGACGGUAAUGGGUAAAGAAGCACCGGCUAACUACGUG
rnacentral:rRNA from 1 species